CGGUGGAAUUUUAUUAUUUUUAUUGUAGUAGUGUUUACGUUCAAUAUUACGGAGUUCGAAUGCAGAAGAAGCCACAGGAAAUUACACGGAAAUGAGAACAAAACAGAUUUCGAUAGGCACAGUUUCGUUUUAGAAAGUCCGGUAGAGAAGAGCAUCUUAGAUUUCGACCUCAGCGCAACUGAUGUGAUUGACAAUGCAAGUGGUAUGUUUAAAAAAUUUUUUGGCAAAUGGCUAACUCACAAAAAACUUACUGGUUUUGAUCCUGGCUGGUAUAGGUGAAC